GGAAAUUUGUAUAAUCACUCGAAAAAACACGAACGCACUCGAGAAAGGCCGGACUGCUCUCGAAAAAACCGAACACAAACUAAUGUUUUCAAUGCAAUAACACGAUUUUUUGUAUUUUGUUUAAACAUACGAAAAGUCGUGCGAGGUCAUUGACCGUUAUUCGUUUUUGAUUAGAUAACAAAAGAACCCAAAAAGUCAUUCCGG
rnacentral:lncRNA from 1 species